AUGGAGGCGGAUCGGUUGGAACGCGGGCUAGCCGGCCGGGAGGUUCGAUUCCUCCCCGAUUCCUAUUUACUCGAUCCAUUGUUCGUGCAAUCUUAAGGUUCAUAGUCCUUUAGCUCUUAUUACAGUGGUUGACAGUGGCUUAUGAAAGUGGUACCCCUUUCUUUACUUUAAACAGUGGUUUACACAGGUUGAAUGAUACAAGCAGGAAGCAAACAACAGGAAGAACCAGAGCGGGUGUAGAUGCUCGUGAAGGAACGGGAGCUGAAGCAACAGGAAUUGGUCAACGAGUAGGAAGACUUGGAAAUUAUUUUGAAAAAGGUGGCUAACACUAAUAUGCCUAUCCACUACUAUGGUGGUCAUCAUCGCUAUGGCAUGCACUGUGGCAUGUUCUAUGGUGCCUAGCCUAUGCUGCUGGCCAACUACAGAUCGAUAGUGAGAUUCUGAUGCUAUGCAGUUACGGAUGCUCGUAAUAGAGAUUAUGAUCUUCGUUAUCGGGAGUAAGAUCCAGAAUUAACUUCAAGUAGGGAUCCUAGUGCUAGUUAUCGGGGUUCUGUCUUUCUUCACUUCUGAUCUUUAUCUAUGAUAUGAUAUUAACUUGAACUUGAAGACG
rnacentral:lncRNA from 1 species